ACGCGGUAAAAUUUUCUUGAAGUAGAAGCGAGCAGUAGUUACUUUCGCAUUGUAGAAAUCAACAUCGGUUGUA
rnacentral:tRNA from 1 species